rnacentral:rRNA from 1 species
UACGGAGGAUCCAAGCGUUAUCCGGAUUUAUUGGGUUUAAAGGGUGCGUAGGCGGUCAGGUAAGUUAGAGGUGAAAUCCCGUGGCUCAACCACGGAACUGCCUCUGAUACUGUCUGGCUAGAGAUUAGAUGCUGUGGGCGGAAUGUGUGGUGUAGCGGUGAAAUGCUUAGAGAUCACACAGAACACCGAUUGCGAAGGCAGCUCACAAAUCUACAUCUGACGCUGAUGCACGAAAGCGUGGGGAGCAAAC